rnacentral:rRNA from 1 species
UACGGGGGGGGCAAGCGUUGUUCGGAAUUACUGGGCGUAAAGGGCUCGUAGGCGGAUGUGUCAGUCAGGGGUGAAAUCCCGGAGCUCAACUUCGGAACUGCCUUUGAUACAGCACGUCUUGAGUCCGAUAGAGGUGGGUGGAAUUCCUAGUGUAGAGGUGAAAUUCGUAGAUAUCAAGAGGAACACCUGAGGUGAAGACGGGUUGCUGGGCCAACACUGACGCUGAGGCGCGAAAGCCAGGGGAGCAAACGGG